rnacentral:lncRNA from 1 species
GAAGGCUGCAGGCCAGGAUGGAGGCUGCGUCUGGGUCGGGACUAGGCUCUCACUCCUGGCAUUUCUGCCCACACUCUCCUGUCUCCUGACAAUCUCAGAAACACAGACAUGAAUAUAGAGACCUCCAUGGACCAGCAACGACAACAUGGGCUGGCCCUGGAGGGGUCCCCCUGUGUCAUCAGGGAUACCCACUGGGGACUCUGCCUGCGAGGCCAGGCAUCUCCAGGUGGCAUUGUGUUCUUGUUGGAGACGCACAUCUAGAGAGGGAAGCAGUGGCUGCACCCAGUCAGCACUGUGGCCACCAGAAUAAUGCAGAGAUAUGUAGACACGUGUGACACCUACUAUUGCUGUGGAUUUUGCAAAAAAAAAAAAUGUAUUUUUCUUCUAUAGAAAAUCCCAUCUUCCCUUGUCGUGGAUAACUCAGGGUUCCUGAAGCGGGAAAUGCCUCAAGAGAACAUGCUCUUGGAUCACGCUGUUUCUGCCUCUAAUCUUGUCCUCAGAGACAUCCACAAAUGGCAAUCUACGGGCCUCUCUGUGUCUAGCUCCUGUCUGGCUCUCUGCCCGGCACUCAUCUGCAUCCUAAUCCAAGCAAUUCACCCUCCUCCUCACGGCCCAGCUCAGAUCUCAGGACCAUUGUUCAUCUCUCAGCCAUUCUCAGGCCACAGGCAACAGCAGACUCAGAUGUUUCUCGUCCCCACACCUCCAUUUAACCAGCUUCGGCAUGGCUGCCCCUGGAAGGUGAAGGCCAUGGAGACAUAGAAGGAAGGAGUGUGGAAACAACCUCUCUCUGUCUCCACAGCACACACAUAUCACAGCCAGGGGCCUGGGAACACGCCCAGGUCAGUCCCACGUAAUCCAGCCCUGCAACUACACACAUGCAUUGUGUCUGCACCUGACCGUGUCCACACCUGUACUAUGUUCAACCUGCAU